rnacentral:rRNA from 1 species
GCGGUAAUACGUAGGGUGCGAGCGUUAAUCGGAAUUACUGGGCGUAAAGCGUGCGCAGGCGGUUAUGUAAGACAGUUGUGAAAUCCCCGGGCUCAACCUGGGAAUUGCAUCUGUGACUGCAUAGCUAGAGUACGGUAGAGGGGGAUGGAAUUCCGCGUGUAGCAGUGAAAUGCGUAGAUAUGCGGAGGAACACCGAUGGCGAAGGCAAUCCCCUGGACCUGUACUGACGCUCAU